CGCAAGCCUGACGGAGCAAGACCGCGUGCGGGAUGACGGCCUAAUGGUUGUAAACCGCUUUUCUCAGGGAAGAAGCCCUGACGGUACCAGAGGAAUCAGCCUCGGCUAACUCCGUGCCAGCAGCCGCGGUAAUACGGAGGAGGCAAGCGUUAUCCGGAAUUAUUGGGCGUAAAGCGUCCGUAGGCGGUUUAUCAAGUCUGCCGUUAAAGACUGCAGCUUAACUGUGGGCGAGCGGUGGAAACUGAUGAACUAGAGUACGGUAGGGGUAGAGGGAAUUCCCAGUGUAGCGGUGAAAUGCGUAGAUAUUGGGAAGAACACCAGUGGCGAAAGCGCUCGACUGGGCCUGCACUGACACUGAGGGACGAAAGCUAGGGGAGCG
rnacentral:rRNA from 1 species